GUGAGAGGGGUGGUUGCUACUGAUUGUGACCAUGAUUAAUACCAUAUCCAGGUGGUGAUGUGGUGUCUGAAGGUUUAUGCCAUGGCAGCCAUUGCCUGUCCUUUUACAGCACACCUAUCAACUGGUGAGGCGAAGGCCCCAGAGACAGAGUCUCUCAGAUGCACAGUUUUGUCAGGGAGGAUUAGUGGCGAUAUACCCUGAGAUUGAAGUCAGCGACUGUACCGUCAUCCCACCAGGACUAAGAGAGAAGAUCAGCAAGGAAUGGGGCCCUCCAAAAGUAAAAAUGGCAAAUGCUAAGAAGAGAAAGUACGUUCUGAUGAUGGUAGAUCCAGAUGCCCCUAGCCAUAGCAACCCUGUGCGUUCCCACUGGAGGCAUUGGCUUAUAGCUGAUAUUAAGGUAAAGACUGAUUUUUACCCCCAGAAAGGGCUACAUUGGGUUUCUUUUAGCAGGUAAUAGGGCUUCAUCAGUACACUGCACGCUGGAGCAUGGUCCACAUAGACCUUAUCGUAACGUGGUUAAAUAGCGGCAUGCGUGUGUUAUCGUUUACGUUCGCGUUGUCAUGUUAAUCUAUUAUUAAACUUAGCAAUAACGAUUCUUUAACAGACUGGCGGAUUUUUAACAAACUGGCCGAUAACUUAUGUAGCUACGCUACACCAAUUACCUGGAUGUCUUAUCCUGAGCAUGUGCCUUGUUGGUACUUCAUGGUGAUGCAAAAGCACAAAACCCUUCGUCAGGGUUCAUCAUGAAUCUAGGCCAAGCAAUAGAUUUGAAAUAAAAAAAAAUAAAAAAAAUGUGUAUCCUAUUGUGUCUAAGGCUUUGUCAUUUUGUUUUUUCUUGUCUUGUCGGUUUGCUGAAGGUUAAAAUGUUUAAAAUGCUAAAAUGAGAGGCAGCUGGAUGUAACGUGUGAUUUAUGCUUCCGAGCAGAGCUCUUCCCAACCGACACCCUGGGGCUGGAAUGCAUUGCUCUCGCCUUGAAUUUGAGUGUUCUGUUGUUCCUCUCACAUUUGAACAUCACACGUGUAUUAUAAGCUCAGUACGCAUUGCACUUGGUUAGUAUUCGAAAUGCUUUCUUUCCCUCAAGAUUGAAUUUGGAAAUAAUUGUUGAUACUAAAUGUUCCAUAAUGGUGCCCAACACCAUUCACAUUCAUUAUCAUCAACUUCUUCUCCUCCUUCUCUUUCUGGAUCUUCUGCUUCUUCAUCUUCUUUUUAUUAUUGAGACUAAUUGGAAUCAGAAAACAAAGAUGCAAUUUAAAGCACUGACUUGGCAUGGGUAA